AUUGAACGCUGGCGGCAGGCCUAACACAUGCAAGUCGAACGGUAACAGGAAGCAGCUUGCUGCUUCGCUGACGAGUGGCGGACGGGUGAGUAAUGUCUGGGAAACUGCCUGAUGUAGGGGGAUAACUACUGGAAACGGUAGCUAUUACCGCAUAACGUCGCAAGACCAAAGAGGGGGACCUUAGGGCCUCUUGCCAUCGGAUGUGCCCAGAUGGGAUUAGCUAGUAGGUGGGGUAACGGCUCACCUAGGCGACGAUCCGUAGCUGGUCUGAGAGGAUGACCAGCCACACUGGAACUGAGACACGGUCCAGACUCCUACGGGAGGCAGCAGUGGGGAAUAUUGGACAAUGGGCGCAAGCCUGAUGCAGCCAUGCCGCGUGUAUGAAGAAGGCCUUCGGGUUGUAAAGUACUUUCAGCGGGGAGGAAGGGAGUAAAGUUAAUACCUUGGCUCAUUGACGUUACCCGCAGAAGAAGCACCGGCUAACUACGUG
rnacentral:rRNA from 1 species